rnacentral:lncRNA from 1 species
GAUCCCCACCACCUACAGUAAAAAGGUAAGAUUCUCUGUUUCUAUUGAUUCUGCUUGUUUCCCUCUAUCAGUAGCACUGCCAGCAUAACAAGAACUUCGUACAAAUACACUACUAAGCUUUAAAGACUUUUACAAUGCCUCAUUCUAGAGAAUGGGCACUGUUGAUCAUGGUGUCCAAAAAUAGUUAAUGUGGCUAAAUUGAGACAGGUUAUGCUUCCAUCACAGUAUGCAUAUUGCAGUGGUGACAAUGAGACCUGUAACAUUUUGCUAUGUUUAUGAGUAAAAAUGUAGGAGAAAAAUGUUGACUUUUCAAUAUUAGAAAUAACAUUUAAUAAGGAAUUUUCAGCUCUUAUAGGACCACUUUUUUUAUGUGCUGUAUAUUGACUGAAACAUUGUAAUGUGGUAUACAUUACUGUGUCUUGGAUCAGGUGUCAAAAUGUAACUGUACUUUGUACAAUUCAACUUCUAGGACCCUAAAGUAAAUUGGUUGAAGAAAUUAGAUCCCAAAGAUUCUUGGUGAAUUUUGAAGUCUUCAUCAGUAUAUCCAUAUUAAAACGAGAUGACAGAAGCCAAAGUAAUUAUGGCAAGUAAUGGUUUUUAUCUUAACUAUAAGUUAUUUGCUCAAGGGUGUAAUGGUCAUUACCAAGGCUUUUAGAAUGCAGUUUCUCAUUUGCUGUGGACAUGACCAUAAAAAAAUUUCCCAGUAGGUUUUCUAUCUGCUACUUUGCUAGCAAUCAGCUUAUUGGGAACAGUUGAUUAACUGUAAUAGAAAUGCAAUACAAAUAAAAUGUGAACCACAUGUGAUUUUUCUUUAAAAUCAGUGAGAUUUGAAAAUUCUCCUAGAUCUCUUGAAUCAUGCAAAUUUGCUUUGCCUUUAUAUUGUAACCCUUGUGGGUUGCUAAUAACCAAGCAGUUUGUAGUAGAGUUAACUCAGGCUCGUUCUAGGGACUCAUUCAUGUUCACUCACUGUACACUCAUCUCUGGAAAUGUAAAAUUUACUUUUAUACUAUUGUUAUGUAGGGCUGACAGGACAACUGGAUCAGUUUCAUUAAAAAGGUAUGUAUGC